GUAAAGGCUCACCAAGGCGACGAUCCGUAGCUGGUCUGAGAGGAUGAUCAGCCGCAUCGGGACUGAGACACGGCCCGAACUCCUACGGGAGGCAGCAGUGGGGAAUAUUGGACAAUGGGGGGAACCCUGAUCCAGCCAUGCCGCGUGUGUGAAGAAGGCCCUCGGGUUGUAAAGCACUUUCAGUGAGGAAGAACGCCUGGUGGUUAAUACCCAUCAGGAAAGACAUCACUCACAGAAGAAGCACCGGCUAACUCCGUGCCAGCAGCCGCGGUAAUACGGAGGGUGCGAGCGUUAAUCGGAAUUACUGGGCGUAAAGCGCGCGUAGGUGGCUUGAUAAGCCGGUUGUGAAAGCCCCGGGCUCAACCUGGGAACGGCAUCCGGAACUGUCAAGCUAGAGUGCAGGAGAGGAAGGUAGAAUUCCCGGUGUAGCGGUGAAAUGCGUAGAGAUCGGGAGGAAUACCNANGUGGCNGNNAGGCGGCCUUCUGGACUGACACUGACACUGAGGUGCGAAAGCGUGGGUAGCAAACAGGAUUAGAUACCCUGGUAGUCCACGCCGUAAACGAUGUCGACCAGCCGUUGGGUGCCUAGCGCACUUUGUGGCGAAGUUAACGCGAUAAGUCGACCGCCUGGGGAGUACGGCCGCAAGGUUAAAACUCAAAUGAAUUGACGGGGGCCCGCACAAGCGGUGGAGCAUGUGGUUUAAUUCGAUGCAACGCGAAGAACCUUACCUACUCUUGACAUCCUGCGAACUUGUGAGAGAUCACUUGGUGCCUUCGGGAACGCAGAGACAGGUGCUGCAUGGCUGUCGUCAGCUCGUGUUGUGAAAUGUUGGGUUAAGUCCCGUAACGAGCGCAACCCUUGUCCUUAUUUGCCAGCGCGUAAUGGCGGGAACUCUAAGGAGACUGCCGGUGACAAACCGGAGGAAGGUGGGGACGACGUCAAGUCAUCAUGGCCCUUACGAGUAGGGCUACACACGUGCUACAAUGGUCGGUACAAAGGGUUGCCAACUCGCGAGAGUGAGCCAAUCCCGAAAAGCCGAUCUCAGUCCGGAUCGGAGUCUGCAACUCGACUCCGUGAAGUCGGAAUCGCUAGUAAUCGUGGAUCAGAAUGCCACGGUGAAUACGUUCCCGGGCCUUGUACACACCGCCCGUCACACCAUGGGAGUGGACUGCACCAGAA
rnacentral:rRNA from 1 species